UCAACAGAUUACUAUAGAAUUAUUAUCAACUGUAAAGGGCAUGAAUGUAAUUUUGUAUGGGUUGUGUCCCGCGCCUAUAAAUAGGUGAACAGUACUCUCGUACUGUUCACGCUGACUUGGCAUUCGCUUUUUGCGUCACGCUUGUACUAUCAUUUCCUUCCAGUUGAAGGUACACUUGUAAUUCAACGAUACUCCUGUUUAUGCUUAAUAAUAAUGCAUAAUUGCGCAUGUUGUCAUUUAUAUUUCUUACAUUUCAUCCUUCGUCAUUAUAUAAUGAAUCUAUGAAGGUAUCCCCUUCAUGACCUUCGUCCGCAAACUAUUAUACCCUAAGGGAAAUAAUGUUUCGAAGGACGAAGGACUUUAACAAUUAACAUCUUCUGUGUUGCCUUGUUCUUAACCCAUAGCAUUUGAGAACAAGUCCCCAACAUUGGCGCCCACCUCCGGUGAACUCACUUCCACUCUAAGUUUUUUGAACACCUUCGGCGAUCAUAAACCUUCGUUAUGGCGCCGAAGAAGGCUUCAGCAACUGGAGCUGCAGCUCUGCAACCACUGGACCACAAUCAGGAGACAGUCUCCCUGCGGGAGGCUCGAAGCCAGAAAAGGAAGGUUGUCAGCCCGACACCACCAGAGGACGAGAUAGAUCAAGAAAUCAGAAAUAUGGAGAUGCUUCAUCAACAAGUACAGAGGAAGAAAGAAAAGAUGGCCAGGCUAGCUGAGCUGCAGAGGCAGAUAGACGAAGCCUCUGAAGAAGUUCGUCACCUUGCCCAGGAUGAGCAGCACCGAAGGCCUCAACACCAAGAUCUCCAUCAGGAGGGUUUCCCCAACGAGGAUGACUGGUAUGACAAUUUCCAUCAUGGGAAUUUUGUUUUUGAUGAUGCUUCUCCUCUGUCCGCUGAGCUGCAGGCUACACCUUGGCCUCCGUCCUACAAGCCGCCCCAGCUUCCCGUAUUCGAUGGCCACUCAGACCCGAAGCAGUUUUUGAUGAGCUACGAAGCAACAGUAUCUUCGUAUGGUGGCAAUGCUUCAGUCAUGGCCAAAUCUUUCGUUAUGGCUGUCAGGAGUGUGGCUCAAACCUGGUAUUCCUCCCUUCGACCAGGAACGAUCACUUCAUGGCAGAAGCUGAAGGAUUUGUUGUUAACUAGCUUUCAAGGAUUUCAGACGAAGCCGGUCACUGCUCAGGCUCUGUUCCAGUGCACCCAAGAUCACGAAGAAUACCUUCAGGCAUAUGUCCGAAGGUUCUUGCGUUUGAGGGCACAGGCACCAACGGUGCCCAAUGAAAUUGUCAUUGAGGCCAUGAUCAAGGGGCUUCGGCCAGGACCGUCAGCUCAGUAUUUCGCUCGGAAGCCUCCUCAAACUUUGGAGAAGCUGCUCCAGAAGAUGGACGAGUACAUUCGAGCCGAUAAUGAUUUUCGCCAAAGAAGGGAGGAAGCUUUCAGGUUUUCUGAAAUGACCAGGGGCUUCGGAGGGAGGUUCUACCCGAGGCACGUGAGAUCAAUUCAUAACUCUACACAAAAUGAUGAUAGAGGCAGCCAACAACAAAGGCCACAAUGUUCCUCACAGGCUUCGGGGCAACACCAAAGCUCCUUCAGACCACCAGCUCCAAGAGGUAGAGGCGCCAGGGGCUUUGGAGGAAGAUUUGGCGAUCAACCGAGAAAAAUCUUUUGCUUAUUCUGCGGUGAGAACAAAGGCCAUACUACCAGGAUGUGCCAUGUUACUAUUCAGAAGCAAAAGGAAAUAGCUGAAGCAGCAGCACAACAAGCUCAGCCGAAGCAGGUCAUGCAUACAGCUUCGUAUCAUUCGCCCUAUAUUCCAGAAUAUGUGGGCAAUCAUCCUGCAGUUUCUGUUGCUUCGGCGAGUCAGCCCCAAGCUUCUUGGCAACAGCCUCCGCCUCCACCUCCGUUGCAACAAGGCCAGCAGCCAGAAGGGAGCCAGUAUGCUCCACACCAGAGGGACUUCAGAGAGCAGUCCGAAGCUCGUACAGUUAAUAGCACUGUGCCAGAGUCAAAGCACAUCUAUUGACAAAUAUCCUACCUUAAUAGCAAUCUUUUUCAUUCAGUUUUAUUUUCUGUAAUAAAGGACAUUGUUUAGGCUUCAUGUAAUUAGUUUCGUUGAUCCCUACAAGGAAAAUAUAUUUUCUUUACAAGCUUAUAUUGAUAACAAAGAGGACCUUCGAACUAUCGAAAAUUCUUCGAAGCAAUAAAAAGUCGUUCUAAGGAACGCAGAGUAAGUUUGCCGAAGUCACAAAAAGUCGUUCCAAAGGGAGCGCAGUGUAAGUUUUCUUCUCCAAAGUCGUUCCAAAAGGAAUGCAGAGCAUACAGCGAAAAGUCAACGCUGAUACCGCCUAAGUAAAAGGCGAAGCGCGAAAAGUCAACGCGAAUACCGCUGAAAGUAAAAGGCGAAGAAGCUCCUAAGGGAGGCUUACAGCGAAAAAUAAACGCUGAUUCCGCUGAAGUAAAAGGCGAAGAAGCUCCUAAGGGAGGCUUAUAAAAGAUUGUGUUUUAUUGCAGGGAUGCGUAUGUAUCUUCGGAAUAAACAUCAUCUCACAUAACAUAACAUCAUCGCAUCAUUUCGCAUAGCAUAAGCAUCAUACAUCAUUUUGCACAUGGCACAAGAGGUAGACACAUUAUCAAUCUACAGAAGAACGCUUUGAAAAAAGGGAGAAAUCAGUCACAAAAAAGAUACAUCAUUGAUCUUCGGAAGUGUAGCUUCGGAAAAUAUUUUCACGAAGCCUGGAUAUUAUUCAUCAGAACAUUGGAUAUUGUUGUGACAAAGAUAAAUUUUUCUUCACGAAGCAUGAAAAGAAGGGAAGGUGUUUUUUCGUCAAAGACUCAAAAGCGGUACGUGUAAAGUUUCAUGCAUCGUAAAGAAUUGACUAACAAAAAUAGGUAUAUUACAUUUGAGGUUACAAAAUGUUACAGUAUAUUACAUUUCCGAAGUUUUUUACAAAAAUACUUAAUCUUCUCUCAAAACGACUUCGGCAGCCUCGUUCAGGAGCCGAUCGACGACUUCGUCCAUAAUAUCUUCAGCCAUCUUUUUAAUUUCGUCGUCUCCUUUCGGCUGAGGGCCCGAAGACGCGUUAGCAGGAUCUGAAGUAAAAUAGGAUACGGAUACAGUGCUAUUACAAAUCGCAAACAAAUCUUAAAGUCUAAGAUUACAACACAAUAAAACUAUCAGUUAAUACCUAAUUGACCUUCGGCCUCUGCGCUCCUUUCAGCAGCCUCAGCUACUUCUCUAGCAUCGUGAAUUCCCUUUUCACUUCUUCUAAUAAUUUCCCCGACCAUUUCUCGGCCACCAUUAUCCCAAAUAUCGGUAAAAAAUUUUCCACCAAUUAUACUAGCUUCGGCCGAAGGAUCUCUUGCAUCUUCAAAAGACAAAGCAGCUUCGGAUUGUGCUAAAAUUUUUACAUGUUCACAGCCUUUCUUCUCUAAGAUGGUGGCAAGUCCUCUGGCGCCAGAGAAGGCACAUAUAUCUCCACGGCUAUUUAAAAUUUCUUCGAAGGCUUCAGCUUCGUGGUCAAUCCACUCGAUGGGACCUUCGGGAUUGCCUCUCGUAAAGUUUUCCUCACUUGAAAAUGCGCCGACCUUGGCGAAGCUAGUCUUCAGCUUUUUAACACAUUCUAUAGAUUUGUUAUAACAUCUCUUUUUGGACGACCGAAGCUCUUCAACAGUUCCUUCUAGGUGAUCUGCCCAUUGGUCGCUGAGUUCUCGCUUUGUCUCUUCAAGUAUGCGUUCUUCCUUGGCUCUGGCCAGUUGUUUCCGAAGAUCUUCAAUUUCGCGUUUCUGAGCUUCAGCUUGACCUUUAAAAGCAGAUUCGUCUGCCUUUAUUUUAUUUAUCAAUGAGUGUAAUAUUUUAUCUUUCUCGAGACCUUCGUUCCUCAGUUCAAUAACUUCGGAACGAAGGUUGCUCAGGGCUAUAGAACACCCUUCGUCUUCAGCAUCUUUCUGUGCCCUGAGGGCAUUGCUAAGUAUCAGGCCCUGCAAAGAGAAAUAUGUGUGCGUCAAUAGAUUUAAACAAGCGAAAGAUUUUGGACUCAACAAAAAUACAAGGAUUUCAUUUGUCGCACCUUUAAGCUAUUGUAAGCCAGGCUGUCGGCCAGAUCGUUCUUCGACAGCACCGAGAGCCCGUCUUCUAAAGUUGGGAAUCUGAAGCUCUUGCUCAUCUCCCGACAGACAGAAAUCUCCUUGCUGUCGGGGAGACAAUACAAGAAGUCUUCUUCUCCACUGCCAUUGAAUAUUAACGCCCCUUUUGGAUAUUUCAGUUUUUGGGCGUAGUGCUGGGCCUCUUGCUCUUCUUUUUCUGACAGUUUUUUCCCCGAAGCAUGACGAACAAUAUAAUCACGAAUUUUGGGGGAUGCUUCGGGGGCAAUGACACCGGUUUCUUCAACAAAAGUUGGCUUUGUUAUUUUUUCUGCCUCAGUUUCCAAGGAUUUUAUCUUUGCAGGCUCUGGGGGCCCAGCUUCGGUUUCAGUCUCUUGCCCUGGAGCUUUAGAAUCCGAAAUUUCAGUUGUUGUUUCAGGAAUGACAGCAGCCCUCUGCGGAGGUGUGCUUGAAGAUUUAAUCGUUUCCAGUACAUCCAGCACAUUAGCCAUUCUCUUUCUUUUUGGAGUCACUGCUGGCACUUUUUGAUUUUUUGCCGUCUCAAUGUUUGCUGCAGGACUCAAAACUUCUGAUGUUUUGGAUCCCUCAGUUGCUUCUUUUACCUCUUCCAUUUUUUCUGUAGACGGCGUUUCGGCCUUCUCUUUCGUUUCUGAUAACAAAGUCUUUGAUUUUUCCAAUUCUAUCUUUAUUGGCACUUCGGCCGUUUCUGCGACUUCUGGCAGCAAGGUUGGCUCGGCUGGCUUUUUAGCUUCGGUGGCCGAAGAAGUUUCUCCGGUAAACUCAGGCACCGAAGCUGGUUCAAUAUAGCGCGGCCGAUGUGUUAGGACCUUUAUCUUCUUUCUUUUCGGUUCUGGCUCGCUAGGAGCAGUUGCAGCUUCUUCUUUUGCAGAGGUUGUGUUUUUUCUUUUCUGCCUUCGAAUGGGAUAGCAAUAGUCAGGGUAGACAAACCCGAUUGCAUCAAAUACCCGAUUCAGCCUCUUCUUUUUUCGGCCUCCGAAGGCUGCUGACAUUGCAGUGUCUUCGGCCUUCGAGUAAGCCCCAAGCAGUUCAUCACUUAAAUUUUCAAUACUUUUUAACCAGUCAUCAUCUGGCUCAACGAAUUUAUCUCCAAAUUUAAAAGUGUACUUCAACCUGAUAAGUCCACCUUCGUCGGCCUCUUUUACGGUUUCUUGUGGCAUUUCCCAUUUCUCCGCGAGCGGCCAUACCCUGAAGGCAAUAUGCUCUUGUACUAAGUCUCUCGUUCCAAUGAAAGAGCAGACUGCGCUGAAGGCCCUCUGGCAUUCUUCGGCAGCUUCAUUCAUUUCAACCUUCGGCCUCCGAAGGCCGAAGCUUUGCCAAAUAGGGCGCAUGAUUAUACCUUUGAUAUCUUCUCGUACUGUCAGAUCAUUCUUCACAUAAAACCAUUCUGUCAUCCAAUCUCCGGGCCAUCUCUUCCGAAAGGUUGGCACGGGGCAGCUUGACCCGGACCGGGAAACGAAACUGUAGCAACCAAAAUUAUUGUGAUACUGUUCCUUACCCCAAGGUUUUGUUUCGUAUAAUAAUUCGUGUAUAUUGCAGAAGCUUUUUGCAUCAGGCUGCAGACCUUGGCUUCUCACGGGCCACACGAAGAUAUUCAGCUUUAUGAUUACUUCGGGGGUAAGUUGGUGAAGAUAGACUUCGAAGAUUUUCAGCACCUCCACGACGAAGCUGCUCAAAGGAAAUCGCAGUCCAGCUUUCAAAAAGCUUCGGUACACUACGACUUCAUUUUCUUCAGGGUGUGGGCACGUUUUUCCCCUUCGUCGGCCCUCACAAUGGAUAAAUCCCGGAAAUACCUUCCUCUCAUGUUGACAAGAUGAUUCUCUUUGAUAGUUGAUUUACCAUAAACUGAAUGGCUUGGUCGCCAAGGACGAUCUUCGGAGUCCUCACCACCACUGUCCACAUCAUAGCUGUCACUGUCACCAGUAUCUUCAGACAAACCUUCCAGAAUCUCCUUGGUGAUUUUUUCUGUAUUGGUCUUUGACAUCGCUAUAAGAAACCCCAAGUUUUUCUCUUCGUCCAGGCUCAGCUUCAUCUCAGCAGCAGUCUUCUUAUCCUCAGACAUCUUCGGAGACACUAAAAACUAUUUUCAAAACCGAAGCUUCAAAACUAAAGGCUUAACAAAUUUUAGUGCACAAGAGCUAAAAAUUGAGUGAGCAGGAGCAAUUGGCCAGAGAGCGUGUCAAAUGAGUUUGCGGUAUGACUGUAUUUAUACGCCAAGAGCGUUGAAAAUUGAAAGACCCCGCUUGUCAGUGAAUGUUGCUAUUCUAGCAAAGGGAAGGUGUUUUUUCGGACCUUCGGCGUAAAGCCUUCGUCCAUGUCGCAAUCUAAAUUUUUUAUUUCAAACAAAUUAAUAUUGCAAGGGGCUACUGUUGGGGACCUUCGGCAUCCGAAGGUCCUCAAAAACAAGAUUUAACAGUAUUUCUGGAGUAUAAUGUGUGAACAGGUAUCUUCGGACUCAGGUCGGCAUCACAGCAGACCAGAAUAAUACGAAGGUCGGUACAGCGCCGAAGGUGUAAGCAGGAAAGCUUCGGCGUGACAGCAGAAAGUGGAACCGACUUAAAGAUGAAAAGGCUAUUUAGACCUCAACAGAUUACUAUAGAAUUAUUAUCAACUGUAAAGGGCAUGAAUGUAAUUUUGUAUGGGUUGUGUCCCGCGCCUAUAAAUAGGUGAACAGUACUCUCGUACUGUUCACGCUGACUUGGCAUUCGCUUUUUGCGUCACGCUUGUACUAUCAUUUCCUUCCAGUUGAAGGUACACUUGUAAUUCAACGAUACUCCUGUUUAUGCUUAAUAAUAAUGCAUAAUUGCGCAUGUUGUCA
rnacentral:lncRNA from 1 species